GGCAUGGUGGCGCAGUGGUUUAGGCUGUUGCCUCGCAAUAAAGAGGUCCCAGGUUCAAGUCCAGUUUGGCCA